UACGUAGGGGGCGAGCGUUGUCCGGAUUUAUUGGGCGUAAAGAGCUCGUAGGCGGUUCGAUAAGUCGGAUGUGAAAUCUCCACGCUCAACGUGGAGGGGCCAUUCGAUACUGUCGUGACUCGAGUCCGGUAGGGGAGUGUGGAAUUCCCGGUGUAGCGGUGAAAUGCGCAGAUAUCAGGAGGAACACCGAUGGCGAAGGCAGGUCUCUGGGCAUUAACUGACGCUGAGGAGCGAAAGCAUGGGGAGCGAACAGG
rnacentral:rRNA from 1 species